CCUACGGGUGCUGCAGUGGGGAAUAUUGGACAAUGGGCGAAAGCCUGAUCCAGCCAUGCCGCGUGUGUGAAGAAGGCCUUCGGGUUGUAAAGCACUUUCAGUGGGGAAGAAAGCCUUGGGGCUAAUACCCUCGAGGAAGGACAUCACCCACAGAAGAAGCACCGGCUAACUCCGUGCCAGCAGCCGCGGUAAUACGGAGGGUGCGAGCGUUAAUCGGAAUUACUGGGCGUAAAGCGCGCGUAGGCGGUCUGAUAAGCCGGUUGUGAAAGCCCCGGGCUCAACCUGGGAACGGCAUCCGGAACUGUCAGGCUAGAGUGCAGGAGAGGAAGGUAGAAUUCCCGGUGUAGCGGUGAAAUGCGUAGAGAUCGGGAGGAAUACCAGUGGCGAAGGCGGCCUUCUGGACUGACACUGACGCUGAGGUGCGAAAGCGUGGGUAGCAAACAGGAUUAGAUACCCUGGUAGUC
rnacentral:rRNA from 1 species